GUAUCCUUGUUCAACAUCGACCGAUCCCUUUGAGUUUCUUUCUUUCUAUAAGCUGUUUCUAUGGGGUAUACCAAGGGCCUAUUUUCCGCCAUAACCAGAGAUGGGGAGCCGCUCGUCAAGAAACUCGCAGCGGUUUCUGUAUUCGGGGUCUUGCCAGCAGCCAUGAUCGCGUCUCUUAUCUAUUCUCCUCCCGAUUUCAUCUACAACCACAAAACCGCUUCUUCAAAAUCUCCCCAAUAGACAUCUUUUCAGGGUAUGUUUGGAGUUGGUGGAAAUGCUUAUGCUGGAUGGAUAUGGGUGUGCUGAUUAGAAUAAUUUCAAGUUUGUCUUAGAAAAUGGUUUUGCUGUUUUGAAUAGACUAUGAAUGGCAAACUGUUUGCCUGAAAUUAUUUCUUUCAAGUUUAAUUAACUUUCCAGCAUUAGCUUGUUUGGACCAUUUAAUAUUUCUAUUUUGUGCAUUCUAUUUAUAUAGUUUCUGGGCUACAAAUAAAACCAAUCAUGAGCUUAUCAUAGUGGCAUAAAAAAAGCGUUCCGACUUAACAAAUCCAACUGUACAAAAAUGCCAUUUGGGCUGUAAAAGACCAAACAUCACAACAAGCCUGAUGUUGACUCUCAAAUUUUUGGGUGUAUUAAAGCUUGAUGAAGGUGACAAACCAUGUAUCAGAUUGUGAUGGGUAGAGAUGUGAUAUUUGAUGAACAUGGCUAGAAUUUAUUAUCUGAAGAGGAGAAUGAUGUAUUGGUAAUAUUUGAAGAUGAACAAGAUGGUAAUAAGAUGAUAGAGAUUGAUACCCUUCAUGAAGAAUUGAAGAUGCCAACAAGUUUCACAUAAUACAACCAAUGAAGAUGUCUAAAGUUCUCAAGCUUAGGAAGGAAGAAGAAGAAUUCCUCUAGUACAUCAAGUAAGUGGGGAAGGACUUUAUGAGGAAGAUGAGAAGAGACGCAACACUUGCUAUAUGCUUCUCAUAGUGAUAAGUAAGCUGCACCGUAGAAGCUGCAAUGAAUACAUAAAUAGAGGCCAUAGACAAGAAUUAGACAUGGGAAUUGGUUAGUUUAAUGGCAGGAGUUAAAUGGGUCUACAAGACCAAGAUUAAUGCAAAAGGAGAUAUAAACAAAUACAAAGCAACACUUGUCGCAAAAGGAUAUGGACCAAGGUAUAUAUGGCAUCAAUUACGAACAAGUGUAUUGUGAUGUUGGAUACCAUAAGAAUGCUCUUGGCUAUGGCUGCAGAGGAAGGUUGGAUUCUCUACAAACAUGAUGUAAAGAAUACCUUUUCAUGGCACCCUGAAAGAAACUGUGUACGUGGCAUAGUCCGAAGGAUACGUUCAAGCAAGAGAAGAGCAUAUUCAAGCAAGAGAAGAGCAUAAGGUCUAUAAACUGAAGAAAACUGUAUAUUGGCUGAAGCAUCUCAAAAAGCAUGGUAUGUAUAACAAUACACAAAGGGUUGUCAAAUGGUUUCAGAUGGUAAAAUGUUAACAACCCCAUUGUGCUACGAACCAAACUACCAAAGGAGGAAGGCGGAUAGGAAGUUGAUGCUUCCCUCAGUAAGCAACUUAAUAUAUGUUAUUGCCACAAGAUCAGACAUCAUGUUUUCCGUUUGUUUCUUAAUCAGAUUUAUGGCUUGCCCGAGAGAAGCUCAUCUAAUGGGAGCAAGAGGAUUCUGCACUACAUUAAGUAUUAAGGGUUCGGGAAUAUUUACAAACAAAGUGUAGACCGGAGGGCUUUUAGCGAUAGAACUACAAGUACAUAUAAGAGGUUAAUUACUCUUGCAUAUUAAAAUGUUGUAACCUUAUCAACUAGUGAAGCAGUAGCUUCAACUUGUGCCUGGAUUUUAGAGAGUUCAACUAGGAUUAGUGAUGUAGUAUGACAAUCAAAUGUAACGAAUAUAUAGCUCUUCGAUCAAUCAUGUCUUUCAGGUGAGAAUGCGCUGAUUCAUUAGAACACAAGAUCAUCGAUCUAGCAGAUAUCAUCAU